rnacentral:rRNA from 1 species
GCAGGCGCGAAAACUUUACAAUGCGGGAAACCGUGAUAAGGGAACACCGAGUGCCAGCAUCAUAUGCUGGCUGUCCAGAUGUGUAAACUACAUCUGUUAGCAAGGGCCGGGCAAGACCGGUGCCAGCCGCCGCGGUAACACCGGCGGCCCGAGUGGUGACCGUUAUUAUUGGGUCUAAAGGGUCCGUAGCCGGUUUGGUCAGUCCUCCGGGAAAUCUGAUAGCUUAACUGUUAGGCUUUCGGGGGAUACUGCCAGGCUUGGAACCGGGAGAGGUAAGAGGUACUACAGGGGUAGGAGUGAAAUCUUGUAAUCCCUGUGAGACCACCUGUGGCGAAGGCGUCUUACCAGAACGGGUUCGACGGUGAGGGACGAAAGCUGGGGGCACGAACCGGAUUAGAUACCCGGGUAGUCCCAGCCGUAAACUAUGCUCGCUGGGUGUCAGGCAUGGCGCGACCGUGUCUGGUGCCGCAGGGAAGCCGUGAAGCGAGCCACCUGGGAAGUACGGCCGCAAGGCUGAAACUUAAAGGAAUUGGCGGGGGAGCACAACAACGGGUGGAGCCUGCGGUUUAAUUGGACUCAACGCCGGACAACUCACCGGGAACGAC